UCCGAAUUGUUAAAACUCUGAAGGAUACAAAUAUUAAUUCAGAUUUUAAUCUAAUAAAUCUUCAAAGGGCACAAAUAUUAAUCCAGAUUUGAGUUCGGUAUGGCUCUGAAGGAUGCAAAUAUUACUUUAGAUUUCAGUCCAGUAUAUCCACGAAGGACACAAAUAUUAAUCCAGAUUUCAGUCCGAUAUAGCCCAGGAGGAUAUAAAUAUUACUCUGAAUUUUAGUUCAGUAUGGCCUCGAAGGAUGCAAAUAUUACUCCAAAUUUUAGUCUGAUAUAGCCUCGGAGGGUAUGAUCCCCCCAUCAACCAAUGAGUCUUAUAUCGGCCA
rnacentral:lncRNA from 1 species